AAACAAAAACAAUGACUUUUAUAUCCCGCCGUUUGGCAUGCAUGAUUUUUAAAACCCGCCAAACAAAUCCUAGUAAACUGGGGUUGCGAUGGCCAAAAAAUUCUUGUCAAAUAUUUUCUGUUGUUGUGUAGAACCACACGGUUCUUACCCCGGCGAACACAGUUCAGAUUAAUUCUUUUUUAUUCCAGCCUCAAGUCCGCUGUUCAUGAUGUCCGGCUCAUCCCAGCGUGUGGCAGCUCCAUUAGGCACACUACACAUACUAGGACAGAUCGCCAACCAUCCGAAAUAAUCGGGAAGAUAGUAGGUGAAACUCAAAACGGAUGUUGCACGUUCAAAGCAGAUCUUUCUGUGAUUCCCAGUAGAAGUUUUUGAAAGAUCACGGUGUUUUCAUCUGUUAUGAUAUGACAUCAGGUACGAACAAGGAAAUCCCUGGCCAUGUUCAAGACCCUGACAGCAAAAUCAUGAAAAUAAAAAAAAAUCAUUGAAUAAAAACCUGCAUUCCUCUGUUUGAAACAUAUAUUAGUCACAAUUUCAACGAUAAACAUUAAACUUUUUUAUUUA